ACAACAACAUUAGGACCGUCGGUCUACCGAGCAAUAUCACCCGCUCGGUGGAAGAUCUUCCUUUCGUCGUUUAAG
rnacentral:pre_miRNA from 1 species